UACGGAGGUCUCAAGCGUUGUUCGGAUUCAUUGGGCGUAAAGGGUGCGUAGGCGGCGCGGUGAGUCGGGUGUGAAAUCUCGGAGCUUAACUCCGAAACUGCAUUCGAUACUGCCGUGCUUGAGGACUGGAGAGGAGACUGGAAUUUACGGUGUAGCGGUGAAAUGCGUAGAUAUCGUAAGGAAGACCAGUGGCGAAGGCGGGUCUCUGGACAGUUCCUGACGCUGAGGCACGAAGGUCAGGGGAGCAAACGGG
rnacentral:rRNA from 1 species